CAGCAGUAGGGAAUCUUCCGCAAUGGGCGAAAGCCUGACGGAGCGACGCCGCGUGAGCGAUGAAGGCCUUCGGGUUGUAAAGCUCUGUGGGGAGGGAAGAAUAAGGGUGAGUUAAUAGCUCAUCUGAUGACGGUACCUCCUUAGCAAGCACCGGCUAACUCUGUGCCAGCAGCCGCGGUAAGACAGAGGGUGCAAACGUUGUUCGGAUUUACUGGGCGUAAAGCGCGUGUAGGCGGCCUUGCAAGUCGGAUGUGAAAGCCCACGGCUCAACCGUGGAAGUGCAUCCGAAACUGCAUAGCUUGAGUCUCGGAGAGGAAGGUGGAAUGCUUGGUGUAGAGGUGAAAUUCGUAGAUAUCAAGCAGAACACCUGCGGCGAAGGCGGCCUUCUGGACGAUGACUGACGCUGAGACGCGAAAGCGUGGGGAGCAAACAGGAUUAGAUACCCUG
rnacentral:rRNA from 1 species